rnacentral:tRNA from 1 species
UAGCUCAGUCAAUUGAGCAUGGCACUAACAACGCCAAGGUCGCGGGUUCGAUUCCCGU